rnacentral:rRNA from 1 species
UACGUAGGGUGCAAGCGUUGCCCGGAUUUAUUGGGCGUAAAGGGCGCGUAGGCGGCUCUGCACGUCCGUUGUGAAAUCGCCCGGCUCAACUGGGCGGGGUCAGCGGAUACGGCAGAGCUUGAGCAAGCUAGGGGGCAAUGGAAUUCCCGGUGUAGUGGUGGAAUGCGUAGAUAUCGGGAGGAACACCGGUGGCGAAGGCGGGUCUCUGGGCCAUUACUGACGCUGAGGAGCGAAAAGCGUGGGGAGCGAACAGG